rnacentral:rRNA from 1 species
UACGUAGGGCGCAAGCGUUAUCCGGAAUUAUUGGGCGUAAAGAGCUCGUAGGCGGUUGUCGCGUCUGCCGUGAAAGUCCGGGGCUCAACUCCGGAUCUGCGGUGGGUACGGGCAGACUAGAGUGAUGUAGGGGAGACUGGAAUUCCUGGUGUAGCGGUGAAAUGCGCAGAUAUCAGGAGGAACACCGAUGGCGAAGGCAGGUCUCUGGGCCACUACUGACGCUGAGAAGCGAAAGCAUGGGGAGCGAACAGG